rnacentral:snRNA from 1 species
GUGCUCGCUUCAGCAGCACAGAUACUAAAAUUGGGACGAUACAGACAUUAGCAUGGCACCUGCACAAAGAUGACAUGCAACUCCAUAUUUUUCAUUCUUUU